GAGAAAAAAGGAACGGCUGAAAAUCUGGGGAGAGAAGGGAGUGAACGGCAGAACUGAGAGCAAGAGAGAAAAGGGGCGGAGCUAGGAAGAAAGAAGGAGGACAAUCGAGAGAGAGAGCUAGUGGGGAGAGGGGGUUGAACGGCAAAAAGAAAAAACCCAGAAGAGAGGAAAUAGCGGCUGGGGUUAAGGAAAAAUAAAAAGGGGAAGCAAGUUUACGGCUGAAGGAGGAGGGAACGAAACAAGAGACUGGAGAAAGAAACCAUUGGGGUCUAAGGGAAAGUGAGGAACUAGAAGAGAGUAGAGUGAUUGGAGUAGCGGCUGGAAGAAAGAAAACUGAGCUAGGAGAGAGCCAAAGGGAAAACAGCAAGGAAGAAGAAUCAGGAGGAAAAAUCGAGAGAUCUGAGGAAGAGCAAGCGGAAAAGGAGAUCCAAGGCUGAAAACCCAGGUUCAGGCUUGGUCGUUGAUACCACCAUCGAACCCAGGCUGAAGUUGCGAGUCCGAAGGCGGUGAACAGGUAAUCUUCGACCCAUUUUUCGUUCAUGCCACUUCUCGUAUGAAACCUGUGAGUAUGGUUAUGAGGUCGAGGGAGAGACAGUCUACCUGCAAGGUUCACCAUUUUGUAGUGGUUUUCUCGCAUGUCACUUGUGUUUUACAAUCCAAAGCUGCUUUCUUUUAGUCGUUUGUUUGUUCCCUUCGGCUGUCUGAUGGUUCCGUUUUGAUUCCAUGAUUGACUGAUGAUUCUUCACGGAUGAAGUUAUAAGUCUGAGAGUUCUUAAGAUCGUAAACUACAAAAUUCGAUUUUUGAUUGAUGGUUUGGGCUGGACGUUUGGUAUUUGUUUGAGCUUGUUGGUAUGAAGCUUAGAAAUUGCAGUUUAGGAAACCAGAUUUCUGCUAAAAAUGCUUGAACUGUCCAACCCUUUAGCCGUUGAGUUAUUGAACUUGUUUCAUAGCCUUAUCAUGUUUACUUUUGAUGUUUCUUUUUGCCAUUGUUCCUUUUCCCUGUCUGGUGUAGUUAAAGCGUUAGUUUGAAGAAAAAAUAUCUGAUACAUGAUGAGUAGUCUUCUUGGAUGCUGUUGCUUAAUAUUUUAAAACAAGAAAAUGAAAUGAAGUUGCCUGCUGCAUUUAGUAGUUGUUCUCGUUGGUUUGGCCUGGUUUCUCCCAGAUCGAUCAAUGAGUGAGGAUUAUGUGGGUUGGGGCUGAUGAGAUAACAAAUUGUUAGAGUUUUCAUACGGACCUAAAUUGCAUGGAAUGAGCUGCGCAGUUCACAGCAGAAUUUCUGCUGCAAUUUCAUCUUUUCGGUCAGAUUGCAUUUUCCUUCUUUUUGCCUUUGUUUGUUUUUGAACUACCAUAGCUGUGGCUGUUUAGUCUAGGUAAUGUCCAGUCUUGUGCUACUUUGGCUGAAAUACCUGAAUUGGGAUCCAAUGCUUGCUGGAAAAUGAAUGAUUGAAGUUGUCAAACCAGUGUUGCACGCAUGUUUAUUCCAGAAAUUUGCAUGAUAUCUUCUUGGGUUUCUUGUUUGUUUGGAUUAUGAUGGUGGGUUUAGUUGUGGGCUUGGUCUAAAGUUGUGACGUUGAGUUUAAUUACAUCUAAUCAAGGUUGUGAUAAGAAUCUGAGUUUAUAAGAAAAUUGCUGCAAAGUUGUUUGGCCGGAAACAUUGCUGAAGCUGAAACCUUUUAUUGUUGCUUGCAUGUUAUUUCAGACCUGAAUAUGAUGUCUUUCUGGGUUGUUUGCUUGCUUGGAUCAUGGUUGCUCAAGCCAAAGUUGUUUGUUGCUUAAUCUUGGUCAAAGUUAUGUAUUUGAACCAGAAAAUUUGAGUCAGUUUGCAAGUAAAAAUGCAGCAGAUUUCACUUUCAGCUAUAGCAGUUUUCAUUCUUCAAUGUUUGCAUGUUCAUUCUUCAAUGUUUGAAUGAUUUCCACCUUUGUCUUUGCUGAUUUGGGAUGUUAAACUUAUGUUUUUACUGUCUAGUUUAAAGUUUUGGAUGUUAGCUUUGGUUAAGGUAUGUGAUUGGAUGUGGAGUUGGCAUUUGGGAGUGAAACAUGAAGGAAAUGCAGCUGAAUUGGCGCAGAAAUGAAAGGCUUCUACGUGUUUUGCAUGCAUGGAUAAUUUCAGAAUUGUCUCUUAACCCCCCAAGUCUCCCCUUGUUCUACUAUGACCCAAAUUUGAGAAAAACUAAUCAAUUGGGUCCCUGAGAUCUUUUGCAGCAAUGCAUUAUGGCCCAAUUACAUUUCUUUUUCUUGCAUUAGGUCCUAAGGUGGGUGUAUUUUGAGUCAUCAUUUGGCCUUUCAUUGUUUUGGGACUUUUGAAGCUCUUAAAUUUUUCAAUGGGUUUUUAUUUAGUUUGGUUGAUUAAUGGUUGCUAUUGAGUUUUCAAAAUGCAUGUUUAAAUCAUUCAUGGAUCCUUGUUCAUUCUUGGACCUUCGAAUUUCCAUAAAUGUUUGUUUGGAUCUUGUUAUUUACUUGGAGAACUUUUUGUGUUUUUUAAAUGUUUCAAUUAGGUUCAAAUGAUUGAGUUGUGCUUGCUUUUGGGUCUUUAGUAGAUGUUAUGCUUGGGGAUCGGAUGAUCAUGCCUUUUGCCUUGGUCUUUAAGUAGUUUUGACUUCAUUGAGUUGCAAUUGAGGGAAAGUUUGAUGUUUCGGUGGAUUCAAAUUGUUUAGUUUAUAUCUUAUCACUAAAUUGGUGCAUUAAUCUUUUGUUUUUGGUGAUUUUAGCCUAAGUUAGUCUUUUCUUGGGUGACUCUAGCCAAGUUGAGUUUGUUUACUUCCUUAGUAUCACCAACGGGGAGGUAUAAUCUCUUUUACCCCUUUUGUUUCUCUCUUAUGUGAACUAAUGUGUUAAUUGAAAUUUGCAUGUCUACUUGCUUUCCUAGCCUCUCCUUAUUUCCUUUCAUUUAUUUCAUUUACUUUUGAUUUUUAUUAAUGGGGUAUGUGUACACCUCUUGGCUUGUAAUAGAUAGGGCGUAGCAAGUAAUUUGGUCCAUUUUCCCUUUCCCCUUUGUUUUAGUUAGCAAAUGUAAUGGUUGCAUGCCUAUGUGUUAUAUGUUAAAUGCUUUAUUAGGAUCUUGCAUCUAGUCGAGCAUGAUAAGUGCUACAUGAUUUAGGUGAUUUGCAUGUCUACUCGCUUUUUGUAGUAUAGAUGAAUGGAAUGGAUGAAUGUACGUCACCACACUAGUCCAACGCUAGUUGUGGCUUCUUCUAUCGUUUCCACUAGUCCAACGCUAGUCGGAAUUCAUAGAAUGGGCUAGUCCAAUGCUAGACCCAAUAGGUUCUUUUUUCCCUUUUUCAUUAAGUGCAUGAUCACCACAUAUCACGCAUUUUUCCUUAGUUUAUCAUUUGGUAUGUUCCUCAAACCCCUUCCCCAUCACUUUAGGACUUGCAUCUCAUGCUAGUUAGGGUUCAUUUGCGUGAAAAUCCCCUUCCGAUAAGGGAAACGAGCGAGUGUGGCUACUCGAUAGCCUUAGCAUGUGACGCCCCGGAAAAAAUGAGUUUGAGAACCCGAAAAUUUUCUAAUUUUCUAGGGUUUAUUUAUUUAAUCGCCCGCCUUUUCUACAUUUUCUUGAUUAGAAAAAUUCCCCAGAUAAAGUUUAUGAGCAAAGAUAGUUUUAAAAUGAUUUUUCUAGUAUCGGUUAGUUUUGAGAAAUUAAGAGCGUAUUUUGAACGUGGGACCCGCAAGUGCGGUAAAUGUAAUAUAUUUUUGAUAACUUGUUGGAGUUUUGUGCUAAGUGAUAUUUUUCUACAAGGUGUUAAGAGAUAUUUAUGGAUUGGUGUGAGAGGGAACAAAGAGAUAGAGAUUCAUUAUUUAAGUGACAAGUGUCGCUUGGCCAUUGGGUGGAAUUUUUGACUUUUAUGCCAUGUCUUACCAUUUGACUUAAUAAACAAAAACUUUACCAAAAAUUUGCUCCAUUUCCAAGCUUCAUGGCCGAACCUCUCUCAAGAAAGGAAGAAAGGAAAGCUUUCAUCUUACUUCUUCAUUUCUUGCUUCAAUCAAACAAUUUAACCGAUUAAACUUGGAUUUGCUCCAUAAAAACCUUUCUCUUGGUAGUAUUAAGGUGUGUAGUGAAGUGGUUUGAGAAGCAAAGGUGCUAAGUUGGGUCUUUUCUUGGGUUUGUAAGGUAAGUGACUAAGGAACCUUUCCUUUGAUCUUGAUAAUGUUCAAUUAGUGAUUGGUGGUGGUUGAAUAAGUGAUUUUAUGGUUGAUUUCCUGAUUUUGGUUGAAAAUGAUGAAGUUUUAUUAUUUUUGGGGAUUUUUCUGUUUUCAUAUGGAUAUGAUUGUGUGGCUAUAUAUGAUGAUUGGAAUUGAUGUUUAAGGACUCUAUGAGGUGGAAAAAGUGAUUAAUUGCAAUCAAUUUCUGUUUUGGAAGAAAUUUCAGAAAAUCAGGGUUUUGUGAUGAACAUUCUGUCCGAAUUUUUAGGUCCUAGACAGAGGCCGAAUUGGCCUUUCCGUAAAACAUGAAAGUUGUAGGGAAUGACAUUUUAAAGGUGCCUACAAAAUUUCAGGUCAAUUGGAGCAGUGUGGAAUGAGAAAAGUCGAAGUUACUAUUGCUGUUCUGGUUUUGCCCGAAAUUGAGAAGUGCGUCUGUAAUUGGUUGUUUUGGCUGGAAUUGCUUCCGAAUUAGUUGUUGAGGCCUUCUGAUGAAAUUUAGCCCUGUUUCUUAGCUUUCAUCUGGUUUUGGAAUUGCUGGAUUUGGAUUUGGAGAGCCUGAGUUAUGAUGUUUCCGCUAGAAUGCGUUUUGUGAAUCUGUUUUUGUGAUUCUGGUGUGGUAUCUUGCAUUUUUGACCUGGUUACACUCGAAACUGGGUUGAGUGACCUUCUGUAAUAUUGUAAAACUAUCUCUUAGCUUCGAAACGGUGUAUCUUGCACCUUCAUCCGACAAUCGUAGUGCCUUUGGUACCAUUACCGCAAAAUGACGUCAAAACCUGUUUUUUUGGUUUUGAGCUUAACUUUCAUUUCCGGACUUCUUCCUAGCUUGACUUGUCUUUGUACUACUUGGAGCUUGCUGAAUGACUAUUGGAUGAACCUGUUGUUGUGUGUGUACCUUUGGGACUGGCUGAGGAAAUAAUGAAGCCAUGAUGGCUGGAAAAGUUAGCAAAUGUAGGGGAAGUGCUGUCCGAACUUUUAAAGGAUAUGUUUGCAUUGAGUUUGUGAUCUAAGACUUGGGUUUGAGCAAGGCAAUGAUACAUGAUGGAUGAUUUCUGAGCCAUUGAGGUGAGUGACCCUAAAUUGUUUCCAAAGUUACUUUUGAAAUGUUCCUUGCAUUGUUUCUUUGGUUUGCAUAUCAUGUGUGCGCGCAUACGAGUUCUUGACAUGGUUUGGCUUUAAUGAGUUCUUGAGGAGUCUUGUGCUGGACACCAACGUCUCCACCACUUUCGUGAGUUUGUGAUAUGAUCUGGAGCACCGAUGCUGCUCCCCUUUAAUGUUUAUGGUUUCGUGAUCUGUUUGAGCGUUGGGUGUUUAGUUUCAAUGAUUUCACUGGCUCACGAGAGCAAAAAUACGUGCAUUUGAUACUUGAAUCAUGACAUCAUGACAUCAUCGAAAUGAAUUAUUGUGAAAGAUAUUUGAUUACUGGUUUUAUUUGGUUACUCGCUGAGCUUCUAGCUCACCCCAAAAAUAUUUUAUUCCCCUCCACAGGGCUCAAGGCGAAGGCAGGACUUGUUGUGCUUAUUCAUGUGAAUGGAUGGAUUAUCUCGUGUGUGGUUUGAAUUUGGAUUUCCUUUUGUGUAAUAGUUAUUAUUAGGGAUUGUAAUGAAUGUUUGGAAUCGAUCGGAUGUGUACAUACGUUCCACGCUUGGAAUUAGUUUCCGCUUCGUUUUGUUUAUAUGUAAAUAUUGAAGAUUUACAUUGUAAUAUUUGAGGUUUAUUCUUGUAAUAUAUUGAGGAUUGUAGUGAACGACUGAGUCCCGGCGAGAGCUGGGCAGGCGGCCCGCCGAACCCUCUGGUUCGCCUCAGGGGGAGGUGGGGCCGUCACAUAGCACGCUAGUUUCGCCUUCUAAUCCGAGGGAAAAUCAAAGUCGAAGAAUUAGG
rnacentral:lncRNA from 1 species